rnacentral:rRNA from 1 species
GACGAACGCUGGCGGCGUGCUUAACACAUGCAAGUCGAACGGAAAGGCCCUGCUUUUGUGGGGUGCUCGAGUGGCGAACGGGUGAGUAACACGUGAGUAACCUGCCCUUGACUUUGGGAUAACUUCAGGAAACUGGGGCUAAUACCGGAUAGGAGCUCCUGCUGCAUGGUGGGGGUUGGAAAGUUUCGGCGGUUGGGGAUGGACUCGCGGCUUAUCAGCUUGUUGGUGGGGUAGUGGCUUACCAAGGCUUUGACGGGUAGCCGGCCUGAGAGGGUGACCGGCCACAUUGGGACUGAGGUACGGCCCAGACUCCUACGGGAGGCAGCGGUGGGGAAUAUUGCACAAUGGGCGGAAGCCUGAUGCAGCAACGCCGCGUGCGGGAUGACGGCCUUCGGGUUGUAAACCGCUUUCGCCUGUGACGAAGCGUGAGUGACGGUAAUGGGUAAAGAAGCACCGGCUAACUACGU